AACGAACGCUGGCGGCAGGCUUAACACAUGCAAGUCGAACGCCCCGCAAGGGGAGUGGCAGACGGGUGAGUAACGCGUGGGAAUCUACCCAGUUCUACGGAACAACACAGGGAAACUUGUGCUAAUACCGUAUACGCCCCAAGGGGGAAAGAUUUAUCGGAAUUGGAUGAGCCCGCGUUGGAUUAGCUAGUUGGUGAGGUAACGGCUCACCAAGGCGACGAUCCAUAGCUGGUCUGAGAGGAUGAUCAGCCACACUGGGGCUGAGACACGGCCCAGACUCCUACGGGAGGCAGCAGUGGGGAAUAUUGGACAAUGGGCGAAAGCCUGAUCCAGCCAUGCCGCGUGAGUGAUGAAGGCCUUAGGGUUGUAAAGCUCUUUCAGUGGGGAAGAUAAUGACGGUACCCACAGAAGAAGCCCCGGCUAACUUCGUG
rnacentral:rRNA from 1 species